AUGCCGGAGUCCACACUGUAUCGAUGCGCCGCUAUCGCUCUGCCGUCGCGUGCAGGAAGUUCAACGCCACAACCCCGGCCGUUUAAUCUUGCUGCCGUGGGCGUGCCCCGCUCCAACUCCAUCGCCUGUGCUUCACUAGUGAAACAGUACGACCUGAGGAACCACGGGGGGUUGAGGACGUCCAACUCGGCAGUCCAACUCGGCGUUCUUCGUGUCAUCGUUAGCCCCAUGUUUGCUGGCAAGACCACCGUGCUUCUCCGCUGGCAUCGACAGGAAGACGAGUCCCUCGUCCGGUACGUCCAGGAUGUGGAAAAACUAGAUGCAACAUUUAUGGAAAAAAAGAGAUGGAUUUAUAGGAAGAUGGAGCACUGGAACGGAGAAGACUCAGUUCACAAAACAAUCUGA
rnacentral:rRNA from 1 species